UGAGGAAUAUUGCACAAUGGGCGAAAGCCUGAUGCAGCAACGCCGCGUGAGGGACGAAGGCCUUCGGGUCGUAAACCUCUUUUCUGAGGGACGAGACAGGACGGUACCUCAGGAAUAAGUCUCGGCUAACUACGUGCCAGCAGCCGCGGUAAAACGUAGGAGGCGAGCGUUAUCCGGAUUUACUGGGCGUAAAGCGCACGCAGGCGGCCGGGCCAGUCGGACGUGAAAGCUCCUGGCUUAACUGGGAGAGGUCGUUCGAUACUGCUCGGCUUGAGGUUGGGAGAGGGGUGCGGGAAUUCCCGGUGUAGUGGUGGAAUGCGUAGAUAUCGGGAGGAACACCAGUGGCGAAGGCGGCACCCUGGCCCACACCUGACGCUGAGGUGCGAAAGCGUGGGUAGCAAACAGGAUUAGAUACCCUGGUAGUCCACGCCGUAAACGAUGUCAACUAGGUGUCGGCAGUGUACACUGGCGGUGCCGUAGCUAACGCGUUAAGUUGACCGCCUGGGGAC
rnacentral:rRNA from 1 species